CAUAGUUUCAUAGCGAAGGACGGGUAUUAGCUAGUACAUACAUACAUGAUUUUAAAAAAAACAAACAUAUAAGAAUUUGGGAAUUCUUCUUUUUGGAGGAAAAUACGUGUUUCAGUGUGUGAACUCUAAUCUGCACUUGCUAAUAGGCUUUGUAGAGAAACAAUUCUGCCUCCCACAGUUACUCCUUGGGGCUUAAACUUUGAGGCACUCUCUGUUUCCUGGAGAUCAGAAACUUGGAGCUAUUGAGGAAAGGGGUACAGCCCUCAACUUAUGAUCUCAAUUGAGCCCAAAAUUUUCUUGCUGAACAAGACAGUUGUCAAGUGAAUAUAAGUCCUGUAAAAUAAUUUCUUUUCUAUGAUUCAACUAAUGGCAUUUGGUAUUUUUUCUUUCUCUUUCAGAUGAUACUGUAUCUAACAUUCCCGGUCUCUAUAUUCUGGAUAGCAAAUCAGACGGAAUUGUUUGAAAAAUAUGGAAUCGCAAGCAGCAUCUUUCCACCUCUAAAUGAAGAGCAGAGAAAAGAUCUAGAAGCCUUUAGAAAAAGACUGCGGGAGAUGAAUGAGAAGAAACAGCUGCAGGAGGCUAAAAAAUAAUGGAGUGGUAUUCCACAAUAAAUUCUGUAUUUUGUAUAUAUGUAAUUCUCAAUUGUAUUCUGUAAAUAUCUCAGGCAUUUUUGGGAUAUAAAUGAGAAAAUUUUUGUUUCUUCAGUUGUGAUCAGUCUCUUGCAAUGUAUAAUCAUUAAAAUUAAUCACUGACUUGG